rnacentral:rRNA from 1 species
UGGGGGAUAUUGCACAAUGGGCGAAAGCCUGAUGCAGCGACGCCGCGUGGGGGAUGAAGGCUUUCGGGUUGUAAACCUCUUUCGCUAUCGAAUAAGGCCCGCUUAGGGUGGGUUGAGGGUAGGUGGAGAAGAAGCGCCGGCUAACUACGUGCCAGCAGCCGCGGUAAUACGUAGGGCGCGAGCGUUGUCCGGAAUUAUUGGGCGUAAAGGGCUUGUAGGCGGCUUGUUGCGCCUGCUGUGAAAACGCGGGGCUUAACUUCGCGCGUGCAGUGGGUACGGGCAGGCUUGAGUGUGGUAGGGGUGACUGGAAUUCCAGGUGUAGCGGUGGAAUGCGCAGAUAUCUGGAGGAACACCGAUGGCGAAGGCAGGUCACUGGGCCAUUACUGACACUGAGGAGCGAAAGCAUGGGUAGCGAACAGG